AACGAACGCUGGCGGCAGGCCUAACACAUGCAAGUCGAGCGCCCGCAAGGGAGCGGCGGACGGGUGAGUAACGCGUGGGAACGUGCCCUUUGCUACGGAAUAGCCUCGGGAAACUGAGAGUAAUACCGUAUGUGCCCUUCGGGGGAAAGAUUUAUCGGCAAAGGAUCGGCCCGCGUUGGAUUAGGUAGUUGGUGGGGUAAUGGCCUACCAAGCCGACGAUCCAUAGCUGGUUUGAGAGGAUGAUCAGCCACACUGGGACUGAGACACGGCCCAGACUCCUACGGGAGGCAGCAGUGGGGAAUCUUAGACAAUGGGCGCAAGCCUGAUCUAGCCAUGCCGCGUGAGCGAUGAAGGCCUUAGGGUUGUAAAGCUCUUUCGUGGGGGAAGAUAAUGACGGUACCCCAAGAAGAAGCCCCGGCUAACUCCGUGCCAGCCGCCGCAGUAACAC
rnacentral:rRNA from 1 species